GGAAGGAACUGCUAAUUGGUGACACCGU
rnacentral:piRNA from 1 species